rnacentral:misc_RNA from 1 species
AAGUCGUAACAAGGUUUCCGUAGGUGAACCUGCGGAAGGAUCAUUAUUGAAUAAGCUUGGUUGGGUUGUUGCUGGCUCUUAGGGGCAUGUGCACGCCUAACACCAAUCUUCUUACCACCUGUGCACCUUUUGUAGACUUGGAUAUCUCUCGAGGAAACUCGGUAUGAGGACUGCUGUGCGUCAAAGCCGGCUUUCCUUACAUUUCCGGUCUAUGUCUUCAUAUACACCAUUUGCAUGUCUACGAAUGUUAUUAUCGGACUUGACUGUCCAAUAAACCUUAUACAACUUUCAACAACGGAUCUCUUGGCUCUC